rnacentral:rRNA from 1 species
GACGAACGCUGGCGGCGUGCCUAAUACAUGCAAGUUGAGCGCUGAAGGUUGGUACUUGUACCAACUGGAUGAGCAGCGAACGGGUGAGUAACGCGUGGGGAAUCUGCCUUUGGGCGGGGGACAACAUUUGGAAACGAAUGCUAAUACCGCAUAAAAACUUUAAACACAAGUUUUAAGUUUGAAAGAUGCAAUUGCAUCACUCAAAGAUGAUCCCGCGUUGUAUUAGCUAGUUGGUGAGGUAAAGGCUCACCAAGGCGAUGAUACAUAGCCGACCUGAGAGGGUGAUCGGCCACAUUGGGACUGAGACACGGCCCAAACUCCUACGGGAGGCAGCAGGAGGGAAUCUUCGGCAAUGGACGAAAGUCUGACCGAGCAACGCCGCGUGAGUGAAGAAGGUUUUCGGAUCGUAAAAGUCGGUUGGUAGAGAAGAACGUUGGUGAGAGUGGAAAGCUCAUCAAGUGACGGUAACUACCCAGAAAGGGACGGCUAACUACGUG